CUGGGAUGAGCCUGGGCUCCACCCCCAGCCAUGUGGCAUGGGCAAAACAAACUCUAAGCUUCAGUUCCCUUUGCCACAAAAUAAGGACAGAAGUCUUGUCUUUUGGAAUGUCAUGGAUGAAGAUUGCACAGGACAGAGACAGAUCCUUGAGAGGAAGGAGCCCAGGGAGAGGCAGUCUCAUCCAGGCAGGCCCAGAGCAGGGACAAAGCCCUUACUCCAGGCCACGGUGCAGGCAGUGUCCAGCAAAGCAGGUGGGGAGACUGGGCCUUCCUGGGUCAGGAUCCUAGGGACAAGUCCUGGGCUGCCUGUGGCCUGAGAUGAGAAGCAGCCUUGGUACCUCUGGCUACCUGAGGGGAGUGACUGCCAUGAACACCUGGCUCAGAUGUCAGUUGUCUGUCCAGGGUCUCAGCAUGUCUGACAGGCUGGGAUUCUGUAGAGGGAAACUUGCAAGGCAAAGUGAUAACCUGCAGAGCAAGUGGAGGCAUGCUAGGGCCCAGCUAUGGGCCUCAGAGCCAGGGCCCUACACGGCUGGGUGGGCAGUACUGGCCCCUGGGCCAUCAUGGCCUCACUCCUGAGGGCCCCUUGUGCCUCCCACUGACCCCUCACUGAGGUCCACUUUAGCUCUGAGAUGCCUCUCACAGACCGUGGCUCUCAAAUGCACAUUCUCUUUUCUCUCUCCAAUAAGUUCUCUGUAACUGACUGCUCUGCCCCUUUUUGCUAUUGUUCGAAUCAGAAAGUGCACGGGCAAAGAGCACAGUCUCCCAAGCCAGACGGUUUGAGAGCAAAGUCAAGUCCCUCCACCUCUCUGGGGCUCCAAUUCCUCAUCUGUGAAAUUGGGCAGUGAUCAUACUUUGUGGGAUUGAGGGGGUAAAGCUGUGAUCCUUAUGCAGUGUGUCUGGACACCAGGCUGCUUGCUGCUGUGUUCUGUGGACAGCCUCUGCCCGCCACGCCACUCUAACCCUAAACCACUUCCGUUCUGCUACUCCUCUCACCCACACCCAGCUCUGUGGCAGACCGAGACUCUACUUCUCCCUAGAAAUUUCCUGUUGCCAAAGGGGAACUGAGGGCCACAGGAAAUGCUACAUCAGCUCCUGGGCUAUUGCCAUCCAGGGUGGGGAAAGGUGUGGGAGGCCUAUGGUGUGGGGAUGCCAAGGUCGUGGUUAGCCUCCCCACCUGCCUUAGAGGGACCCUGCCUGGAGCGGACUCUGUACCCUACGUUACCUGUUGAUAACAGCCCUAGACAGGGAUGUGAUAACAGAGCCAACUCCAGGAGUCAUUGGCCACAGGCAUACCAGUAGACCUUGCCUGGCUCAGCUCGUGGGCAGGCAGGGGGGACAGUGCAUGCAGAAACAAUUUGGAGUUUGUGCCGGCUCUAGCCAGCUUAAUCAGUGGCUGGAUAAACUGCAGUACUCCAACAUUCUCUAGAGGAAAAAAGGGAGAAGAAAACUUACUGGAAGUGGUUCUGAUUGAAAAACCUCUAUUUACAGUAUGGAUUUUGAUUUUACUUAUAAAGAGAUUGAGGAUUGGUAAAGGUUUUCAAGGCAUCAUGAAAAGAUGGGGAUUUAAAGGCCAGCCUGCUAUGCAUAGUCAAACAAAAACCCACAGGAGGCCUGGAGCUAUUGCAACUGGUGAUAUUGUCAGAGUCUGGCCUGGAACUAAAAUGCCUGGGAAAAUGGGAAACGUAGACAGGACAGCAUAUGGACUGAAGGUAUGGAGAAUAAACACAAAGCACAGUAUAAUCUAUGUAAAUGGUUCUGUACCUGGAUAUAAAAAUUGUUUAGUAAAGGUCAAAGACUCUAAAUUGCCUGCAUAUAAGGAUUUCUGUAAAAAGCUACCAUUCCCUACAUAUUUUCCUGAUGGAGAUGAAGAGGAACUACCAGAAGAUUUGUACGAUGAGAACGUGCGUCAGCCUAGUGCACCUUCUAUUAUGUUUGCCUGACAUCACUGGACUUGGCAGAACCUUACAUAUUCUGUGAGCACUGAUGAGCCUGAAUAAUAAUCUAACCAGAAAUUAUAUUCUUUCCCAGUCACAACAAUACCAUGCUUGUCAUCUCUGUCAAGGACAUAGAUCCCUCAUCGCUCAGUUGAAUUUUGUUAGAAUAAUUACUUCAUUAAACAUAUAAAUUAAGUA